rnacentral:rRNA from 1 species
CCUUCGGGGGACGAUAACGGCGUCGAGCGGCGGACGGGUGAGUAAUGCCUAGGAAAUUGCCCUGAUGUGGGGGAUAACCAUUGGAAACGAUGGCUAAUACCGCAUGAUGCCUACGGGCCAAAGAGGGGGACCUUCGGGCCUCUCGCGUCAGGAUAUGCCUAGGUGGGAUUAGCUAGUUGGUGAGGUAAGGGCUCACCAAGGCGACGAUCCCUAGCUGGUCUGAGAGGAUGAUCAGCCACACUGGAACUGAGACACGGUCCAGACUCCUACGGGAGGCAGCAGUGGGGAAUAUUGCACAAUGGGCGCAAGCCUGAUGCAGCCAUGCCGCGUGUGUGAAGAAGGCCUUCGGGUUGUAAAGCACUUUCAGUCGUGAGGAAGGUGGUGUAGUUAAUAGCUGCAUUAUUUGACGUUAGCGACAGAAGAAGCACCGGCUAACUCCGUGCCAGCAGCCGCGGUAAUACGGAGGGUGCGAGCGUUAAUCGGAAUUACUGGGCGUAAAGCGCAUGCAGGUGGUUUGUUAAGUCAGAUGUGAAAGCCCGGGGCUCAACCUCGGAAUUGCAUUUGAAACUGGCAGACUAGAGUACUGUAGAGGGGGGUAGAAUUUCAGGUGUAGCGGUGAAAUGCGUAGAGAUCUGAAGGAAUACCGGUGGCGAAGGCGGCCCCCUGGACAGAUACUGACACUCAGAUGCGAAAGCGUGGGGAGCAAACAGGAUUAGAUACCCUGGUAGUCCACGCCGUAAACGAUGUCUACUUGGAGGUUGUGGCCUUGAGCCGUGGCUUUCGGAGCUAACGCGUUAAGUAGACCGCCUGGGGAGUACGGUCGCAAGAUUAAAACUCAAAUGAAUUGACGGGGGCCCGCACAAGCGGUGGAGCAUGUGGUUUAAUUCGAUGCAACGCGAAGAACCUUACCUACUCUUGACAUCCAGAGAACUUUCCAGAGAUGGAUUGGUGCCUUCGGGAACUCUGAGACAGGUGCUGCAUGGCUGUCGUCAGCUCGUGUUGUGAAAUGUUGGGUUAAGUCCCGCAACGAGCGCAACCCUUAUCCUUGUUUGCCAGCGAGUAAUGUCGGGAACUCCAGGGAGACUGCCGGUGAUAAACCGGAGGAAGGUGGGGACGACGUCAAGUCAUCAUGGCCCUUACGAGUAGGGCUACACACGUGCUACAAUGGCGCAUACAGAGGGCAGCCAACUUGCGAAAGUGAGCGAAUCCCAAAAAGUGCGUCGUAGUCCGGAUUGGAGUCUGCAACUCGACUCCAUGAAGUCGGAAUCGCUAGUAAUCGUGGAUCAGAAUGCCACGGUGAAUACGUUCCCGGGCCUUGUACACACCGCCCGUCACACCAUGGGAGUGGGCUGCAAAAGAAGUAGGUAGUUUAACCUUCGGGGGG